UUACAUCUCUUUAAUAUUACAUGUCCACAAUAUUCUAUUACAAACUCUUCUCUCUUCUUGUACUCUGCUGGACUUCCCCUAUACACUGUACACUGAACCUGCAAGACUGGGGUUAAGGGAGUGGGAUGAGCUCUAUAGCCCAGUGAGUAGAACCGUACAAUAAGUCAUAAACACAUGAUCUAUGGAAUGCAUCAUAUCACAGACAAUUCAUAUCAAGGGUAAACCUGUCACCACAUAGUCUCGGUAGCUCUACCAUGCCAGGGCGUAGAAUCGAGCACCUGGUCUUCCUGUCAUAUAUGUAUACGUAUAUAUAACACCUGUGUACUUACCAUUGCUAGGGCGUAGUCAAAGGCUCCUGGACUUUUCUAUACCUGCCAGGGCGUAGUCAAAGGCUCCUGGACUUCUCUAUACCUGCCAGGGCAUAGUCAAAGGCUCCUGGACUUCUCUCAGAGACUAUUGGAUCAUUCAGCAUUCACCCACAUCAACAAAUAACUAUGCAAUGCAACAUAUUCGUGGAGUCUAAUGCAACAACCUACUGUAUGCUCAUGAUGCAUGCAUUAUGCUAAAAGUAUUUCCUUUUUCAAGUAAAAGAAUUAAGUUUAGUUCCACUCACCUCUGGCUAUCUGGACUGACUCUGCAGGCUCUGUAAAUGCUGGAGCAGUACUCACUGCUACUCUCUCUGGUUUCUCUGGUCUGUGCCUACACAGAUGGACUCAAAUGAGGAACCAAACUAGCUUAGGAACAACUCUAUUAAACUCCCCAAGAAUCCCC
rnacentral:lncRNA from 1 species